rnacentral:rRNA from 1 species
AGGGCACCACCAGGAGUGGAGCCUGCGGCUUAAUUUGACUCAACACGGGGAAACUUACCCGGCCUGGACGCUGGAAGGAUUGACAGAUUGAGAGCUCUUUCUUGAUUCAGUGGGUGGUGGUGCAUGGCCGUUCUUAGUUGGUGGAGCGAUUUGUCUGGUUAAUUCCGAUAACGAACGAGACUCUAGCCUAUUAAAUAGGCUCCCGGCUUUUAAACGCCGGGAGGACUUCUUAGAGGGACAGGUGGCGGUUCAGCCGCACGAAAGAGAGCAAUAACAGGUCUGUGAUGCCCUUUGUUGUCCGGGGCCGCACGCGCGCUACACUGAAGAGAUCAGCGUGCUUUAUGUUCCUGCUCCGACCGGAGUGGGGAACCCAGCGAACCUUCUUCGUGAUUGGGAUAGAAGAUUGUAAUUAUUCUUCUUGAACGAGGAAUUCCCAGUAAAUGCGAGUCAUAAGCUCGCGUUGAUUACGUCCCUGCCCUUUGUACACACCGCCCGUCGCUACUACCGAUUGAACGAUUU